UUACGAUUAUAUCACGUUAGAACACAGGUUCUCGUACGAUCUCAGAAGUUAAGUAACGUCGAUCCUGGUCACCACCUCGAUGGGUGACGGCUUAGGAAUACCAGGUGAUUGG